UACGUAGGGUGCAAGCGUUGUCCGGAAUUAUUGGGCGUAAAGAGCUCGUAGGCGGUCUGUCGCGUCGGCUGUGAAAACUCGGGGCUCAACCCCGAGCCUGCAGUCGAUACGGGCAGACUAGAGUGCUGUAGGGGGAGACUGGAAUUCCUGGUGUAGCGGUGAAAUGCGCAGAUAUCGAGGAGGAACACCGGUGCGAAGGCGGGUCUCUGGGCAACAACUGACGCUGAGGAGCGAAAGCGUGGGGAGCGAACAGG
rnacentral:rRNA from 1 species